rnacentral:rRNA from 1 species
GAUGAACGCUGGCGGCGUGCCUAAUACAUGCAAGUCGAGCGAACGGACGAGAAGCUUGCUUCUCUGAUGUUAGCGGCGGACGGGUGAGUAACACGUGGAUAACCUACCUAUAAGACUGGGAUAACUUCGGGAAACCGGAGCUAAUACCGGAUAAUAUUUUGAACCGCAUGGUUCAAAAGUGAAAGACGGUCUUGCUGUCACUUAUAGAUGGAUCCGCGCUGCAUUAGCUAGUUGGUAAGGUAACGGCUUACCAAGGCAACGAUGCGUAGCCGACCUGGGAGGGUGAUCGGCCACACUGGAACUGAGACACGGUCCAGACUCCUACGGGAGGCAGCAGUAGGGAAUCUUCCGCAAUGGGCGAAAGCCUGACGGAGCAACGCCGCGUGAGUGAUGAAGGUCUUCGGAUCGUAAAACUCUGUUAUUAGGGAAGAACAUAUGUGUAAGUAACUGUGCACAUCUUGACGGUACCUAAUCAGAAAGCCACGGCUAACUACGUG